rnacentral:rRNA from 1 species
GACGAACGCUGGCGGCGUGCUUAACACAUGCAAGUCGAACGGAAAGGCCCUGCUUUUGUGGGGUGCUCGAGUGGCGAACGGGUGAGUAACACGUGAGUAACCUGCCCUUGACUUUGGGAUAACUUCAGGAAACUGGGGCUAAUACCGGAUAGGAGCUCCUGCUGCAUGGUGGGGGUUGGAAAGUUUCGGCGGUUGGGGAUGGACUCGCGGCUUAUCAGCUUGUUGGUGGGGUAGUGGCUUACCAAGGCUUUGACGGGUAGCCGGCCUGAGAGGGUGACCGGCCACAUUGGGACUGAGAUACGGCCCAGACUCCUACGGGAGGCAGAAGUGGGGAAUAUUGCACAAUGGGCGGAAGCCUGAUGCAGCAACGCCGCGUGCGGGAUGACGGCCUUCGGGUUGCAAACCGCUUUCGCCUGUGACGAAGCGUGAGUGACGGUAAUGGGUAAAGAAGCACCGGCUAACUACGUG